rnacentral:rRNA from 1 species
AGAGCGAACGCUGGCGGCAUGCUUAACACAUGCAAGUCUCACGGGCAGCAAUGUCAGUGGCGGACGGGUGAGUAACGCGUAGGUAUCUAUCCAUGGGUGGGGGAUAACGUCGGGAAACUGACGCUAAUACCGCAUGACAUCUGAGGAUCAAAGGCGCGAGUCGCCUGUGGAGGAGCCUGCGUACGAUUAGCUAGUUGGUGGGGUAAAGGCCUACCAAGGCGACGAUCGUUAGCUGGUCUGAGAGGAUGAUCAGCCACACUGGGACUGAGACACGGCCCAGACUCCUACGGGAGGCAGCAGUGGGGAAUAUUGGACAAUGGGCGAAAGCCUGAUCCAGCAAUGCCGCGUGUGUGAAGAAGGUCUUCGGAUUGUAAAGCACUUUCGGCGGGACGAUGAUGACGGUACCGCAGAAGAAGCCCCGGCUAACUUCGUGCCAGCAGCCGCGGUAA